AUUGCACGCUGGCGGAAUGCUUUACACAUGCAAGUCGAACGGUAGAGGGGGCAACCCCUCGAGAGUGGCGAACGGGCGCGUAAUAUAUCGGAACGUGCCCAGCCGUGGGGGAUAACGUAGCGAAAGUUACGCUAAUACCGCGUACGAUCUAAGGAUGAAAGCGGGGGAUCGCAAGACCUCGCGCGAUUGGAGCGGCCGAUAUCAGAUUAGGUAGUUGGUGGGGUAAAGGCUCACCAAGCCAACGAUCGGUAGCUGGGCUGAGAGGACGACCAGCCACACUGGAACUGAGACACGGUCCAGACUCCUACGGGAGGCAGCAGUGGGGAAUUUUGGACAAUGGACGCAAGUCUGAUCCAGCCAUUCCGCGUGCAGGAUGAAGGCCCUCGGGUUGUAAACUGCUUUUGUACGGAACGAAAAGGUCUCUCUUAAUACGGGGGACUCAUGACGGUACCGUAAGAAUAAGCACCGGCUAACUACGUGCCAGCCGCCGCCGUAAAAC
rnacentral:rRNA from 1 species